AAAGGAUCUCUUUUUAGAGAUCACUCCCUCUGGAGUUUUUUUGCAAGCUUACAACACUGUAAGAUAAAACCUGAUUCUCCUUAGUUCCACGUCAUGCAGAAACGGGGACAAGCUAAGAAACAGGAGGACAAGGUCAAGAUGAAGCUACACAAAAUCAAUAGCUACAUCAUUGUGUAGCACAAUGUUAACACAACAUAACACCAUAUACAACACUGUAUCGAACCUAAAAGAUGCUCGGCUUUCCGGAUUUAUUUUUUCAGUUACUACUGCUCAGACUUCCUAGAAUCAUCACUUUCAGUUGGGAGUGUUUCUUCAGAGGAGUACUCAGUUGUCACUUGGUUCUCUUUCAUCAGUCUGCAAGCAUAACUCUAGAACAGCACACCUCCCCUGCCACUACAAUCCUCUUCUGGCUUUUGCAGGAGAAAAAGGCAGUUGGAAGAAGCAGACAUUGAACAACAUGAAGGACCGGAGCAGUUCUACAUCUCUACGUCAUCUGUUUGUAGAGAAAUAUCAUCUCACCACAUAUCUAACCAAUAGAUAACAACUUUCCAGCUCAAAGCCCUUUACAACUGUGAUUUCUGUGGUCUACUGUCCUAUCUGCUUUGGAGGUGGUGUUCAGUGGUUGCAGCACACACCAAUGUCCUCGGAGUUUCCUUGGAGCACAGCCCUGGAC
ensembl:lncRNA